GCUCCAGUGGCGCAGCGGUGACGCAAUCGGUUUAGGUCCGUAAACUUGUGGGUUCGAAUCCCACCUGGAGUACCA
rnacentral:tRNA from 2 species